AUGCCGUGGAUCAACCUCGGCCGCGGCCGGUACCAGGACCUAGCCGGCAACGGCAAAGUCCGCAGUUUCGCCACGCCCAAGGGCUACCGUGCGCCCGCCACAUUCGACGGCUGGGUUCUAUACGAGCACAAGCGCUCCCAUCGGUGCUUCCUCGGCGACCCUUUCUCCCCGUCCACGCCGGCUAUCGAGGUCCCAUGCCACUGCGAACGGACGUGCCGUCAGGACGUCCUCGUGUGCGGCGAAUCUGAUGUGCUCAGGACGGGGUGCGAGUACAAUCCCAACACGUCAUCGCCCCUGAGGAAGAUAAUCGUGUGCUCCUCUCAGCUAGUUGUUGCAUUGUUCGACAUCUGCAGCCUAAUCAAAAUUGGAUGGUUCCGGCCAGGCACGACCAAGAUCCAGCCUGCCACACUUUCAUGGUCAAAUACACCUUUCACGUGGUAUCAGGAUCCUCAGGGCCAUGACUGGAGCAUAAUAUACGAGGACAUAGCCUUCCACCGUGGAAAGAUCUUUGCGCUCAGCUCUAGGGAGAAUCUCUUCACCUAUGAGUUGGUCCUCGGAAAGACGCGGCUAUCUCAGACCUGCAGCACAAGUAGGGUCGAGCAUGUCAUCAAGGAAGGGCCAGGCGGGGCCGCAAUGGUGAACACGCGUUACGUCCAACGCCACCUAGUGACGUCUUCCGACAAGCAAAAGCUACUAAUGGUGCGGUGGAGUGUCCCAUGUCAAAUGGAUAGGGUGAAGUUUAAUCAUUGUUGGGCGAUGGAUCUGCAGGUGUUUGAGGCAGACUUGCAGAAGGGCCGGUGGUCCGAGGUCAAGGACUUGGGCAGCCAGGUCCUCGUUGUCGGCCAGACUAGCUCUAGGGCGCUUGUGGUGGCUGGUUCAUCAGAACGGAGCUUCCGAGGGAACUGUGUCUUCCUUCUCGGCGACAACUGCCCAAAACUCUGCUAUGCAGUUCCAAGUUAUUGCGUGUAUGACAUGAUCAGCGGUGAAGCUAGUCUUGUUUCAUUAAGUCGAGGUCGUGGUCGUACAAAUUUUUCGAAGAUGUCAUGGUUCUUCCCCUCGGAGUGA
rnacentral:rRNA from 1 species